CGUUGCCAGAUAGGUAAUGGCAAAUUAUCGCACCGGAAGCGGAAAAUUAUCGCACAAACGUUGAGCAAGACUAUUUAGUAUAGUGUAACAUUUUCAAAUACCGUUUAUAGUGUAGCUCAUGAUGCGGUUUUACCUUUAAAUAGACAAACAGCACCGUCGGAGGGAGAACAGGCCCCCAUGUGGCUGUGGGAAUGUGCCUCCAGGGGUGAGGAUGUUGCUGAGGAUGUUUCCUGCCAUCUGAACCCAGCAGGUGGCCUCCGGCCUCCGCAGAUGUCAGAGAGAAGGGACAAACAAAGUGCAGGUUUUAUCGGGACUCCUGAUGACGUUUUGAGACAUCUCCUACAACUACAGCACCAGAAUUGUGCUGCUGAAGCAAGUCCGGUUUUUUGAAUUUUUUGUAAGGGUCCCCCCUUACGACAUUUUAGCAAUAAUCUUUUUUCGUAAAAUAUGCAUUUUCUUCCAUUUUCAGGUUUUGUCGAGACUCCUGAUAACGUUUUGAAACAUUUCCUACCAGAAUUGUGCUGCUGAAGCAAUCAGUUUUUUUGAAUUUUUUGUAAGGGUCCCCCCUUACGACAUUUUAGCAAAAACAUUUUUUCGUAAAAUAUGCAUUUUCUUCCAUUUUCAGGUUUUGUCGGGACUCCUGAUGACGUUUUGAGACAUCUCCUACAAUUACAGGCCCAGAAUUGUGCUGCUGAAGCAAGUCCGUUUUUUUGAAUUUUUUGUUUUUUCGGGACUCCUAAUGACGUUUUGCGACAUCUACAACUACAGCACUAGAAUUGUGCUGCUGAAGCAAGUCCGUUUUUUUUGAAUUUUUUGUUUUGUCGGGACUCCUGAUGACAUUUUGAGACAUCUCCUACAACUACAGCACCAGAAUUGUGCUGCUGAAG